rnacentral:rRNA from 1 species
CCUACGGGUGGCAGCAGUAGGGAAUUUUCGUCAAUGGGCGCAAGCCUGAACGAGCAAUGCCGCGUGAACGAGGAAGGUCUUCGGAUCGUAAAGUUCUGUUGAAGGGGAAAAAGAGCGGAGAGAGGAAAUGAACUCCGAUUGAUAUUACCCUUCGAGGAAGUCACGGCUAACUACGUGCCAGCAGCCGCGGUAAUACGUAGGUGGCGAGCGUUAUCCGGAAUGAUUGGGCGUAAAGGGUUCGUAGGCGGCCUGCAAAGUCUGGGGUGAAAGGUACCGGCUCAACCGGUACAGGCUCUGGAAACUGGCGAGCUAGAGAGCAGGAGAGGGCAGUGGAACUCCAUGUGUAGCGGUAAAAUGCGUAGAUAUAUGGAAGAACACCAGUGGCGAAGGCGGCCGCCUGGCCUGUUACUGACGCUGAGGCACGAAAGCGUGGGGAGCAAAUAGGAUUAGAUACCCGGGUAGUC